CACUCUGGUAUCUCUUCAAAGCACAUAAAUCUUUCGCCUUUUAUGAAAGAUUUCUGUGGAGAGGUACAACCAAAGUGACAGUCCUGCUUGCACCAUGGAUUUGUAGAA
rnacentral:snRNA from 1 species